rnacentral:lncRNA from 1 species
AUCUAGAGGAAGGCAACGAACAUUAUCCUGUGAAUUCAUGGAAGGCCAUAGACAAGAGACACAUAGAACCAGGAGACAUGAAUGCCCCUUUGGAGGAAGUACUCAUCCAUAUCUAUAAAAUCACAGUUCCAUGAUGUGCUGCUAAAUUUUUAACAACUACCUUUUCAAUGGAAAAAUUGCACACAGAACACAUUUAAUGUUUAAUCAGCAUUUUUAAAAUUUUCUCCAGUGCUUUCUCAAGCUUAAACAAUCAACAAAACAAAUCAAGACCUGAUUUGUAGCAUUUGUCAUUUUUGAGGUGUAAAUUCUCACUUUGACAAUUUAACAAUCAGCUUUGGUACUGAACUAGCUUCAUUCCAACCUGUACCCUAAUAUUUGCUUUUCCCAUUGGUCCAUUUUCUUCCUUUACCACACAGAGAAAAUCAAAUCAAGAAACACUAACUGGAAGGCCACGUAAAAUCUUGUUACACUUAGCUUAUCAUUCAUUCAUUCAUUCAUUCAUUCAUUCAUUCAUUCAUUUAUUCAAUAACAUUUAUUAAACACUUAAAAUGUGCCAGGCACUGUGUUAAGCCCUGAGGAUACAAAAAGAGACAAAAGACAGUUCCUGUCCUCAAGGAGUUUACAAUCUAAUGGGUGAGACAACAGGCAAAUAAAUAUAUAGAAAGCAUAUUUUUAAAAGGGGAAGCACUGAAAUUAGGAGGGCCUGGGGGAGAAUUCAAUAAACAUCAUUACUGUAUUUUGCUACUGAUAACACAACAAUUCAGAUUGCUGCAGGUUUCAAAGCUUAUAAAAACCCUUUUGAGGUAGGUCGUGUUCCUAUUGUCACUCCCAUUUUACAGGUGAGAAAACUGCUGCUCAGAGAGAAAUGACUCUCCCAAGGUCACUCAGUCAGAUAGAGUGGAGCUGUUUUCUCUUUCCUGACUCCAAGGCCAGCCCUCUUUCCACUAUAUACAUCCCAGCCGCUCUUCUGUUUGAAGGAGCACGGACUUGACGGUGGGUGGCAUCCACCAAGAGGACCCCACACAGGGUACAAUCCCCCGAAGGAAGAGAUCAGAUUUGCAGAAGGGAGGUAGGGAGGGAGAGGAAUGCCUGGGCAAUGACGUCACGUGCCAGCCGGGUGAUUCCCCGUCUCUUGCGUCACCCUCACAUUACGUCAUCUCAAGCAAGCACCCUCCCCUCCCCCUACUCCCUUUGGGCUUUGCUCUCGUGUGCCAGUCUGGCUCCCCUCCUCCAGCUAGACUUAGUCCAUCUACUUUAGGGGAAAAAUUGAGGGGAGGGCGGGCUCAGUCCCGACGGCCGCAGCCUCCAAUGGGAGAAGCUGAGAGUUCUGGGGACAAGAGGAGGCGGCCGGUCUCUGCGAGACAAGGCAGCAGAGAAAGGAGGGCCGGGAUGGCUAAGGGGCCGCCAGGGCCGCCUAUGAGAGUGAGAAAAGGCGGAGUGGGGAAAGGGGAGAGGGAGACUGCUUGUGUUUAUUAAAGAGAGAAAAAAAUAGAUCUCUCU